CCUACGGUAUGCAGCAGUGAGGAAUAUUGGUCAAUGGACGAGAGUCUGAACCAGCCACGUAGCGUGAAGGAUGACUGCCCUAUGGGUUGUAAACUUCUUUUAUAUGGGAAUACAAUGUUCCCCGUGUGGUAUUUUGUAUGUACUAUAUGCAUAAGGAUCGGCUAACUCCGUGCCAGCAGCCGCGGUCAUACGGCGGCUCCGAGCGUUAUCCGGAUUUAUUGGGUUUCAGGUGAGCGUAGGUGGGUUGUGAAGUCAGUUGUGAAAGUUUGCGGCUCAACCGUAAAAUUGCAGUUGAUACUGGCAGUCUUGAGUACAGUAGAGGUAGGCGGAAUUCGUGGUGUAGCGGUGAAAUGCUUAGAUAUCACGAAGAACCCCGAUUGCGAAGGCAGCUCACUGGACUGCAACUGACACUGAGGCUCGAAAGUGUGGGUAUCAAACAGGAUUAGAUACCCGAGUAGUC
rnacentral:rRNA from 1 species